rnacentral:rRNA from 1 species
GACGAACGCUGGCGGCGUGCUUAACACAUGCAAGUCGAACGGAAAGGCCCUUCGGGGUACUCGAGUGGCGAACGGGUGAGUAACACGUGGGUGAUCUGCCCUGCACUUUGGGAUAAGCCUGGGAAACUGGGUCUAAUACCGGAUAGGACCACGGCAUUCAUGUGCUGUGGUGGAAAGCUUUUGCGGUGUGGUUUGGGCCCGCGGCCUAUCAGCUUGUUGGUGGGGUAAUGGCCUACCCAGGCGACGACGGGUAGCCGGCCUGAGAGGGUGACCGGCCACACUGGGACUGAGAUACGGCCCAGACUCCUACGGGAGGCAGCAGUGGGGAAUAUUGCACAAUGGGCGCAAGCCUGAUGCAGCGACGCCGCGUGAGGGAUGACGGCCUUCGGGUUGUAAACCUCUUUCGCCAGGGACGAAGCGCAAGUGACGGUACCUGGAGAAGAAGGACCGGCCAACUACGUG